UGUUCUUUAUAAAGGUGUAAUACCACCAAAUCAUGGUACGUCACAUCCGGUUGCAUACGAAAGUAGGCCUAAAAAAAUAUUCCCUUGAAUUUGACAGUUGUAGAAAAUUAACCCUGCAUUUCAAUGCACUUAAAUUUUUCUGAGUCGUAAAUAUGUAUGUUGGGUGUCUGAAAGCAUCAUUCUUUUUUUAUUUGAUGGUCUUAUAAAAU
rnacentral:lncRNA from 1 species